ensembl:lncRNA
AUAUAUAUAUAUAUAUAUAUUUUGUAAUAUACCUAUAUACUUGCCUGUUUGUGUCCACUGUGCACAAGAAAGGAGUUCAAUAAGAUGACUUACUGGUUUGCAGUUAUUCAUGUGUGUGCAGACCGACACAGAGGGACGAGGUACCGUAAAUCAUACAAAACACCUUUUAUAAUCUUUCCUCAAAGGAAUUAAUGUUAUUCAUUUUACACGGAAAAACUAAAACAAAGGACCCUUUCACGUUACAAAAGUAUGAAUUUUAACUCACGCUGCCUUCUCCUAAACUAGAAUAAAAAGCUUUCUGUGCAGUGAUCACUGAUUACUGUCUUAUCAGUCGUAGCAAAUUGCAACGCAGGACUGUAGUUUGAGUUGAGAGGCAGCACCGGACUACUGACCAGUUAAAACCAGAACGCUUCAGAUCCCCCAAAAUCGGGUCCUUCCAUUUUACCCGUGAAUGCAGAAUCUGUCAGUAAAGAUUAAGCGCGCGUCUGUGACUUUGGAGGAGUGCCACAGUUUGACGUGCUGUGCUACGCUGCACGUUGAAGUGACGGCAAAAGCUCCUGACCAAGCGUCCAACCGAGUUGAGCACAAGAACUGUCUCAGUGAUAAUAUUUCAGUGAUAUUUGUAGGCCAAUAUUAGCCACAGUAGCAUCGAAAUUCAGAUUUCAAAACUUCAUUCACACGGUGGUCCGUCAUGCUGUCAUGUUAGCCAAACGUGAAAAGAUUAAUAGCAACGACAGAAAAAAUAAUAUGGCCCCAUAUUUAUCAUUUGACUUGACCUCAUAUUUAGCUUGUAUUGACUUUAUUUAACCUUGUUUAACACUUGAGUAAGCCGGUUGAGAUUAAAGCUGUUUUCCAGGGAGACCUGGCCAUGGAAGCAGAGUUGUGACCAGCAUACAAAGCAAAGGCCAUUAGCAGAAAAAAUGCCAAGACAUCCAUUUGCUUUCCCCACACGUAGCCAAGUAGACAUAUCAUAUAUACUGUACAUAAAACUGUUUACACUCUGCAAGCAAUAUUCUUCCUCAUGUCCUAAUACAGCACAUUAUACAUUCAGUAUUUCCUCUAUUCAACCGACUACGUUUUCAAUGAGUGAAUAAAACUUUUAACUCACUUUUUGCAUGUAAAAAUCUAACACACAAAAUACAAAAUUCUAUUCAAAAAUUCUUUCUCCACUUCACAUCAAAUUGUUCCUCUUAUAUCUUCUGCUUGGCUUAGUCAUCAAAGCAUAGAAGCUCUAGUCCCUCGUGCAUUGGUGACAUGACUUACAGAGCAACUGAAUGAUCGUUUUAUGAGAUUGUGAUCUCAGGUCUUUUACCAAGCAUAUCUUAAAAGCAUCUGAAUGCACUAAAUUACUCAGUUUUGUCAGUCAAUGUCAGCAGGCAGGUCAAUGGAAGACAACCUACUCAAUGGCGUGUGACAAACACAGCAUAUAUACAUGAGGGCAUCUGAAGUUUACAUUACGUGUCCUCUGUCCUUUCAUGCAGUCUAGUCGUUUUUGCUUUGAAGCAACAGGCUGACAGGCCGACUUGCAGAUCACAUUUGAAAUCAAGUACGGAAGUGAUAGUUAAAUGCUUGGGCGGGGUUUAAAUGUAUAAAAACAUAAUAACAAUGUGAGCGUUGCCAUAUGGGUGUGCGCUUGGAAUCCGCCCAUGCAGCGAGAGAGCUUGAUCCGAAUGGGUUGUGAAGGCAUUGAGCAUGACACACGCUUUCCCGCACAGCACCAUCCAAUUGUGUUUGCCUGAAGCCUUGUCUACCACAAUCCAAGUCUAACACCUCUUCUGACGAAAAUUAUUUAACAGUCCUUCAUUUAUAGCGCCUUGGGCUUUCUGUCUCUACAACUCCUGUUAAGCAAAGCCUCAGUGUCAGGGGAGCUGGAAUGGAAUUCACUUUGCAGAAGGGGAUGUAGAAAUGGAAAAACCCAUCCAAACUGAGUUUACUCACCUUUUCGUGUGCAAGAUGGGGCUUUCCACCUUCAAGUCUUUAAGUCAAACAACCAUAGAAUUAGACAAAUAAAAAGAAUUUUAAUCCGCAAUUUACCCAGAGGAAGAAGAAUUGGCUUCAUGUAACACCGCUGACAGCUUACGUGUGCACUGACAGGACAAAAAGAAUGUUAAAUACCUCAGUGUGUAAUAACAAUAUAACAAUCAAUACCCCUUCAGCACGUAUUGGCUGAAGAAGGGCAUCAGUCUUGCUUAAUGUUAAUAAAAGCCAGAAAGAUAUGCUAGCGUACGCAAGCUGAAAAUGUGGAAUUUAUUUAGCCUGUUGUUGGAAAAACUUCAGUAUUAGACAAAGUCUGUGCUCUUUGACACGGAGAGCACUUUGUGUCCUGGGUCAGAUGGUACGAGAUGUUUGUGCGCCAAUGACCAGUCAUUCCUGUGGUGCCUGAGAUGAUCGUCUACAUCCCAGGUCUGUUACCAGCACUUGGGUUUUGCCCAGAGGACCAUGUUUUGUAUCUUCCUUCUAGAUUUUUCAGCACCAAAGAAUAAAAGUUGCCUUGAUCCAUGACUUUGUACAUGUGUCUAAGGCGAAGUUGUUAAGUGAUAGAAGAACUGGUAUAAACACUUAUUCAUAUUUUAAAUGUUGUGCUGGAAUUUCAAAGUGGGCCUUUCAAAAUUCUGCUGAAAAGUACACUUGCUAACGUUUGUUGUGGUCAUUAAUACUAAAGAAGGGAUUGCUUGUCCUUCUCAGGUUUUUAUCGAACAUUUUAACAGUUCACUUUACAAUAACAACAAAGUGUUUAGUAAACGUUUUUGAUACAACAACGAGAAAGGCAUAAUUCCAAUUCCCCUUUUCCUCUCGCUGCUUUCCUUCUUGAAUGGUUCUGCAGGUAAUUCUGAUCCCUGAUAUUGAACGGUCUACUCUUCUCUUUAUUUUUCAACUUGAACCUCUGGCAGAAAACCCAUUAAAGGCACCACUUAACAUUGCUGGAGUGUGGCGCUGUGACAUCAGGUGUGACCCAAAAAAAAAAAAGUUUGGCGCCAUAAUUAGACACGGUAGCCUCGGGUCGGAGAGGCCAUCGGCCUGCGUUUCACUCUCCUACAAAUUAGCGACGUAGAGGAUGUAUUAGAACUAGAAAAGGCAUUUCCUGCUGAAAAUGCGUUGGAAUGCAAAAAGCUGAAAGCUGCACUGAAUAUUUGAAAAUAGCUGAAAAUACAGAAAGUUGAAGGGAAUCGGACGGUGUUCGCUGACAGGCUAACAUGGCUGUUUUUUGAAUAUCAAGUGAAGGCUUUCUUCUGCUGUUGAAUACAUAUAGGCCGGGAGCAAUGAUGUAUCCCUCCUGCUGCAGUGAUGAUGCCUAACGAAUAGCAAAAGGCAGCAGAUGUUAGCCGGCACACAGACGGGUCACUGCCGUCCUUAUUACACGAGGCGGAGUGGGAGAAGGAUGUAUCAGCUUUUGCAAUAAGCUAAAUCCAACUUGUGAAAGCAGACAGUGUCUGAACUUCACACAGCAGUUACAGAUUUUCAUGUUGUUGCAGUUCUAAAGGGCCCGUGAACUGGUUUUGUAAGUCUUAAGUGUUCGCUUCUCAGCUUCCUAAUACGAGUGAAAAUGUCCAAUAUAAACACUAUGUUUUUCUGCAUAAGUUAAGCCAUUUAUAGUUAUUUGAGGUGAUAAAUAGCUGAGGGCUGAGAUCACAAGGAAAUCUGUGCAGAACUCUGCAUUUAGUCUCCAAAUUGAAACGUGACGUCAUCAGUGGGUUGUUUGCCAAUGACGAUUGAGCUAUAACUAACUUUUUUAUAACUAUCCUUUUUGUUUAAACUAUCAAAUGUUAGAGAAAUAAUCUGGGCAGCAGUGUAGGGCUAAAUAAAUCGUUUCCUUUUAAUCAAAGAUUUAUUACAGCAUUAGAGAAACCAACAUUAGAGAAAAGGGGUGUAUUUGUAUUUCACAGUGAUCUUAUGUUUAGCUUAUUUAGUUCGAUUUAUUUAUGUGGCUAAAACAUUUUGAAAACCGAAAGAUCUUUUAAAU